rnacentral:rRNA from 1 species
AGUUCGGAUUGUAGUCUGCAACCCGACUACAUGAAGCCGGAAUCGCUAGUAAUCGCGGAUCAGAAUGCCGCGGUGAAUACGUUCCCGGGUCUUGUACACACCGCCCGUCACACCAUGGGAGUCGGAAAUGCCCGAAGUCUGUGACCCAACCGUAAGGAGGGAGCAGCCGAAGGCAGGUCGGAUGACUGGGGUGAAGUCGUAACAAGGUACC